rnacentral:rRNA from 1 species
AGAGAUAUAUAAUGGAGACUUCGGUCGAAGUUAUAUAUUGAAAGCGGCGGACGGGUGAGUAACGCGUGGGUAACCUGCCCUAUACAGGGGGAUAACAACGAGAAAUCGUUGCUAAUACCGCAUAAGCGCACAGUAUCACAUGAUACAGUGUGAAAAACUCCGGUGGUAUAGGAUGGACCCGCGUCUGAUUAGCUAGUUGGUAAGGUAAGGGCUUACCAAGGCGACGAUCAGUAGCCGACCUGAGAGGGUGAUCGGCCACAUUGGGACUGAGACACGGCCCAAACUCCUACGGGAGGCAGCAGUGGGGAAUAUUGCACAAUGGGGGAAACCCUGAUGCAGCAACGCCGCGUGAAGGAAGAAUGUCUUCGGAUUGUAAACUUCUAUCAGCAGGGAAGAAAAUGACGGUACCUGACUAAGAAGCCCCGGCUAACUACGUGCCAGCAGCCGCGGUAAUACGUAGGGGGCAAGCGUUAUCCGGAAUUACUGGGUGUAAAGGGUGCGUAGGCGGCAACGCAAGUCAGAUGUGAAAGCCCGAUGCUCAACAUCGGGACUGCAUUUGAAACUGCGUAGCUAGAGUGCAGGAGAGGUAAGUGGAAUUCCUAGUGUAGCGGUGAAAUGCGUAGAUAUUAGGAAGAACACCAGUGGCGAAGGCGGCUUACUGGACUGUAACUGACGCUGAGGCACGAAAGCGUGGGGAGCGAACAGGAUUAGAUACCCUGGUAGUCCACGCUGUAAACGAUGAGUGCUAGGUGUCGGGGGUCGACAGACCUUCGGUGCCGACGUUAACACAUUAAGCACUCCACCUGGGGAGUACGAUCGCAAGAUUGAAACUCAAAGGAAUUGACGGGGGCCCGCACAAGCGGUGGAGCAUGUGGUUUAAUUCGAAGCAACGCGAAGAGCCUUACCAAGUCUUGACAUCUAACUGACCGCUCCGUAACGGGAGAAUUCCCUUCGGGGACAGUUAAGACAGGUGGUGCAUGGUUGUCGUCAGCUCGUGUCGUGAGAUGUUGGGUUAAGUCCCGCAACGAGCGCAACCCUUAUCUCUAGUAGCCAGCACUUCGGGUGGGGACUCUAGAGAGACUGCCGGGGAUAACUCGGAGGAAGGUGGGGAUGACGUCAAAUCAUCAUGCCCCUUAUGACUUGGGCUACACACGUGCUACAAUGGUGGUGACAAAGGGAAGCGAAAGGGUGACCUUAAGCAAACCUCAAAAAAGCCAUCUCAGUUCGGAUUGUAGUCUGCAACUCGACUACAUGAAGCUGGAAUCGCUAGUAUCGCGAAUCAGAAUGUCGCGGUGAAUACGUUCCCGGGCCUUGUACACACCGCCCGUCACACCAUGGGAGUCGGAAGCGCCCGAAGCCGGUGACUAAACCCGAAAGGGAUAGAGCCGUCGAAGGUGAAGUCGAUGACUGGGGUGAAGUCGGAACAAGGUA